UACGUAGGAGGCGAGCGUUGUCCGGAUUUACUGGGCGUAAAGCGCGCGCAGGCGGCACUUCAAGUAAGGUGUGAAAUCUCCCUGCUCAACGGGGAGGGUGCACUUUAGACUGAGGAGCUAGAGGACGGUAGAGGGGGGUGGAAUUGCUGGUGGUAGCGGUGAAAUGCGUAGAGAUCAGUAGGAACACCGGUGGCGAAGGCGGCAGUCCUGGACCAACACUGACGCUGAGUGAGCGAAAGCCAGGGAGCAAACGGG
rnacentral:rRNA from 1 species